rnacentral:rRNA from 1 species
AGUGGCGAACGGGUGAGUAAUACAUCGGAACGUGUCCUGGAGUGGGGGAUAGCCCGGCGAAAGCCGGAUUAAUACCGCAUACGCUCUGUGGAGGAAAGCGGGGGAUCUUCGGACCUCGCGCUCAAGGGGCGGCCGAUGGCAGAUUAGCUAGUUGGUGGGGUAAAGGCCUACCAAGGCGACGAUCUGUAGCUGGUCUGAGAGGACGACCAGCCACACUGGGACUGAGACACGGCCCAGACUCCUACGGGAGGCAGCAGUGGGGAAUUUUGGACAAUGGGGGCAACCCUGAUCCAGCAAUGCCGCGUGUGUGAAGAAGGCCUUCGGGUUGUAAAGCACUUUUGUCCGGAAAGAAAACCUCUGGGUUAAUACCCUGGGGGGAUGACGGUACCGGAAGAAUAAGCACCGGCUAACUACGUGCCAGCAGCCGCGGUAAUACGUAGGGUGCGAGCGUUAAUCGGAAUUACUGGGCGUAAAGCGUGCGCAGGCGGUUCGCUAAGACCGAUGUGAAAUCCCCGGACUUAACCUGGGAACUGCAUUGGU